UUCCGGUUGAUCCUGCCGGAGGUCACUGCUAUUGGGAUUCGACUAAGCCAUGCGAGUCGUUCGGCCCUCGGCUGACGGCUCAGUAACACGUGGAUAAUCUGCCCUUAGGUGGAGGAUACCCUCGGGAAACCGAGAAUAAUACUCCAUAGGUCUAGGAUGCUGGAAUGCAUCUAGACUCAAAACUCCGGUGCCUAAGGAUGAGUCUGCGGGCUAUCAGGUUGUAGUCAGGGUAAUGACCUGACUAGCCUACGACGGAUACGGGUUGUGAGAGCAAUAACCCGGAGAUGAUAUCUGAGACACGAUAUCAGGCCCUACGGGGCGCAGCAGGCGCGAAAACUUCACACUGUGCGAAAGCACGAUGAGGGAAUCCCAAGUGCUUGCACGUAAGUGAGCUGUUUCUUUGUUUAAAACGCAUUGAGAGUAAGAGCUGGGUAAGACGGGUGCCAGCCGCCGCGGUAAUACCUGCAGCUCAAGUGGUGGCCGCUAUUAUUGGGCCUAAAACGUCCGUAGCCGGUUUAAUAAAUGCCUGGGUAAAUCGUAUAGCUUAACUAUACGAAUUCCGGGUAGACUGUUAAGCUUGAGACCGGGAGAAGUUAGAGGUACUCCUGGGGUAGAGGUGAAAUUCUGUAAUCCUAGGGGGACCACCAGUGGCGAAGGCGUCUAACUAGAACGGGUCUGACGGUGAGGGACGAAGCCCUGGGGCGCAAACCGGAUUAGAUACCCGGGUAGUCCAGGGUGUAAACGCUGCUUGCUUGAUGUUGGUUGGGCUCCGAGCCCAAUCAGUGUCGGAGAGAAGUUGUUAAGCAAGCUGCCUGGGAAGUACGGCCGCAAGACUGAAACUUAAAGGAAUUGGCGGGGGAGCACAGCAACGGGUGGAGCGUGCGGUUUAAUUGGAUUCAACGCCGGA
rnacentral:rRNA from 1 species